UACGAAGGGGGCUAGCGUUGUUCGGAAUCACUGGGCGUAAAGCGCGCGUAGGCGGUUCGGUAAGUCGGGUGUGAAAACACGAGGCUCAACCUCGUGCGUGCAUCCGAUACUGCCGGACUAGAGGUAGGUAGGGGAGAUCGGAAUUCCUGGUGUAGCGGUGAAAUGCGCAGAUAUCAGGAGGAACACCGGUGGCGAAGGCGGAUCUCUGGGCCUUACCUGACGCUCAGGCGCGAAAGCUAGGGGAGCGAACAGG
rnacentral:rRNA from 1 species